ACUUGAUAAUCAUAUAUUUAAAUAACUUGCGAAAAAUAAUCAUAUUGGUUUUGAAUAUUGAGUCGUGAAAUCUGAAAACUAGUAAAAUAUGAGACUAUAUUUGUGCAUUUUGUUUUUGUCUACACUUUGCAUUAUGACUACGGAAGCACAAAGAUGCGGUCCAAACAUGCGUCAUUUUGAAUGCAAGCCCUGCCAUUCAGUACCAUGUGGUACAAAUGCUCCGGAUAUUUGUCCCGCUAUUUGCAUUCAGCUACCAGGUUGUUACUGCGAACAGGGAUAUCGUGAAAAGAAUGGAAGAUGUGUCUUGCCUACUCAGUGCUGAGAACUGAUGUAAUAUUUCACCAAAGGGAUUCCUUUCAAAUCAAAUACUUUACCUAUUUUAGUUUCUUACUCCCCGUUCAGAAUAAAUAAUAUACAUUGUGACUUAUGGAACUAAUGAUAUGACUUUAAAAUAUAUUGCAUUGUUUUAUUCGAAUGACAAAACCUACUUUUUCGAGUAGGCUUUGUCAUAAUCAAUAAAAGUUCUACAAACAUUA